rnacentral:lncRNA from 1 species
GGUAAUCUAGACUACUUUGAGUAAGUCAGGAAUGUUGACCCUUUGAGUUAAAGAAUUAUGAUAGAUGAUAUGGUUUGAUACAAGAAAUUUAUUGAUAUUAGAAAGAAUAAUAUUUUAAAAUUUUGAAUUAUUUUUGGAUAUCCCUAAUGUGAUUUUCAAAAGUAGAGCUUCCACCUACUAUGCUACAAAAAUAAUUAGCAUCCUAAUUCUAGGAUGAGUGGACCUUUGAUUUUUGAUUUUAGAUUUAGAAUAUUUAAAGAUAAAUUUUUUCUAUCCUAGAAUUAAAUUUUAUAAUUAUCUAAUUACUAGGAAGAAUUUGAGAUUGUUUAUCGAAUGAUGAUUUCGAUCUUAGAUUAUUAUACUCAAAUAUUUAUCUCCAGGGUAUAAUGAAAUUUGAAGUUAGAACUCUUUUGAUCAUUAUUAUUUUUCUGACUGAAUGGAAAAGAUUGAGGUUAUCUAUUGAUAUUGACGAUUGUUCUACAAAAGAUGGAUUGGAGUUAUUUAAUAAUGAAUAGAUUAAUUAAGAGAUGUUAAUAUUUAGAUAAAGAAAAUUGAUAUACUUAGAAUAUUUAAGAGUUUGAGGGUUUGAGUAAGAAAAUUUCGAUGACUAGAAAUAGUGAUAUUGAUUCAAUCAACAAUGAUGAUAUUGAUCUUUAUGAAAUGACUUAAUGAUGAAGUUGCAUCGAGAAAUAAAAUAUCAAAAGUUCGAGAAUGAGAUUGAAAUGAUAAAUCUUAAAACUUUGAAAGUAUGAAUAAGAGAAAUAUUUUUGAAUUUUGAUUGAUUGUGAUAUCAUC